CACACCCCAGGCCCCAAGGGGCCUUCACAGUGCCCCCGCCCCUCCUGCGGCUGGGCACACCCUCCACCCUGGCAGACGGACUCACGUGGACCAGAAGCCGGGCCUGGGCGUCCUGUACAACGUGUUUCUCUAUCUGGAGUUGUGCAGUGCACCGCCUGCACAGUCAUACACAGAAGCCCAGCGCAGUCUCAAGGCAGGUCGAGGUUGUGCAGAACAGCACCAAAGCCAGAAUCAGUGGAGGUACCCUAACCUCCUCUGUGGACCUUCACACGGCAUGAGUCAUGACUAGUCAUUACUAGGAACUACGAGCAGUUCUGAACGCCUGGUGCACCUCUAAGCAGUCGUGUGCAUCCACCCACUUAAUCCAAGAGAGAGGCUAUGAUCACCCUCGUUGUAUAGAUUAGUGCGGGAGGCUUGGUGAGGUCACACAAGCCUCCGAGGUGGCAGGGACCGGAGGACAUCCUGGCCACCGGAGUCUGGCCACCAGACUCCAGAUGCAGAACUGGAGAUCCAGUCAUCCUAGGCCACCUCCCAGUCAGCAGAGGCUCCCUCUUGCUUUCUGACCUCAAAUCCCAGACCACAUCCGGGGUGAACCCGGCCAGGAGAGAAAAUGCUGGGUUGCCUUGGAGACACAGGAAUCUCUUCUGACGAGGUGUUACCUGUCUCUUGUAUUCGAACUUCAAGAAGCAGAAGUCUCCAUGCACCUGUGACCCAAAGACAGUGGGUCAAGUCUUCCCCGGCCCCCUGAGGACCGCCCCCUCCAGGGGGGCAGGACAUACUGGCCGUGGACAAGCACAGGGGCCGUAGCACGCGGUGCCCGGGCAGAGCCAGGGCGGGCUGAGGCGUCACAGUGGCAGCAUCGUCACUCAGGACAAGCGGCACAGCAGACGGUUCAGCAAACGCAUUGCCCUGCAGUUGGAAGACCUCAGUGGAAAUAGACGACACAUCAGCCCCACGACACUUGGAAUAAAGAUGCUGUCGCAGAUGCUCCGUCUGGACCCUGACUCUCGAGCUCUGUGGACCCCGGAAGUCCUAGCUCUGCGUCCAGCCAAUGCAAACCUCCUGUCCCACAGGGCUCCCGACAGGUGACCAUGUGGCAAUGGUCUGUAAGGACUGCUAAUUGUUCUCUGAGGCCCGCCCCUUUCUCUCCUUCUCUCUGGACCUCACAGCUCUUGAAUGAUCUAAAGGCGUCCCUGUUUUCUGAGCAUUUCUUACAGCCUCUCCUUUGUCUCAGCCUCUAAUCACGCCCGCAUGUGGGGCUCUAAUCUCCCCACAGUGCCGUCAGCCUGCCCCCAGCCCCAAGUCAUCUUAAAGAUCUUGCCCUCCCUGGGGUCCCCUCCCGCAUCCACACACCCGCGGCCACGU